UGUUCUGUCCACAUGUCACCCACCACCCCAAAAAUCCAUUCGUGUCACACAGUCUACUCUUCCAAACUACCCUCUCAUCUAUGCUCUCUAUCUCUCUUCUUCUUCCACCGUUCCUCUUUUCUUCGUCCUUCGUUCUAUCUCUGCCCACAUAUUCCCUGAUUACACCUCCGAUUCUGUAUGUUCAAAUCUAUAACCGCCCCUAUCAUCCAAUUUCGUUCCUCCACCGCCACAUCUAUCACUCUUUUAUUCCAUUUUCAGGCAGAUGGAGUCGGUUCCUUGAUAGAACUCCCAAGAGCAGAUGUAGCGAUGAUUACAUCGUCGAUUUUGCUCUGGUCCUUCUAUUCGAUUACAUCUUUGGUUUCCAAUAAACCACCGCUCAAAGGCCAGAAGAACCUUCUGAUACACGAAGGGGUUUCUACUGAUUUAAGACCUAGAUCGAUUUAAGCGUUUAAGUAAGAAAAAUACCAUUUCUUUUAUCUCUGUUCCGAUCAACACUCGACUAUGACGUCACCGUUGACCACCUGCUCCACCGCCGUCUUCACCGAUACGCCGGCGACAUGCACACCUGAUAUUGACGACGCGUACAACUUAAACAACUUGUUUUGGUGUGUAAUUUGGGCUUUCACGUUCUCCGGUCCAACAUCUGUUAUAAGUUCUGCUGCUAUCGUUGUUGCCCAAGAAAGCCCUAACAUCAAUUUCUUAGAUGGUUAGCAAUCAACACUUCUACUGAUUUCAUUAUUUCUGCAAACACUGACUUCUUACGAAGGUUUCAUGUUGCAUUCCAACAGCUCGAUAGAAUGCUUGAACCAAGUUUAUCAAUUGUUUGUCUAAUCCUUUAAUUCAACUUCAUUUUUUUUUAAAUGGGUUGACCUCGGAUAGACGAAAGUGGAAGAAGAAAAGGAAGAUGAUCCAGUACCAAAAAACAUGUGGGCUAAGUGGAGACUUGGAGGUGUUCUCGGAGUUGUUUUAACCGGUGAAGUUUAAUGGCUAUUAAUGUUGGUAUAGUUAUAGUUUCUAAAAUAAUUGGGUUUACCACAUAUAAAUUUUGCACAUCUUGAAAUUUUUCUAUUUAUCUAUUUUUUUUUUUUUUUUUUUACUUUUUGAUAUUUUGUUUUUAUUGUUUAAUAUCUGUUCUAUUCAAACCUUCUCAGGCCCCCUAAAAAACUUAAACCUAGAAGUUAUUGGUAUGAUAAAGUAUCUGAACUUUAGGGAAAAGUAUGUUGUUUUUUUAGGAACAACAGGUGGCCUGAGGUAAAUCUUUUCACCGGAGAAACCAAAAUCUUGCAAGAGGACAUCAUAUAUGAUUGUUGUAAGAGCUUGAACCCUGAUGUGAAUUUUGGGACAUGUUGAAGAAGCUUUUAACAACGACAAACAGAAAACUUGGACUGUAUCCAAAGAUGUAAGUCCAACAGGUGUGGUUGGGAGAGGCAAGUUGUGGUUAUUUUGUUGAAGAAAAGAAAGAUAUGCAUAAGUUGUAGAAUGAGAAGGAGUAACUAUAUGUGAUGAUAUAUUGUCUUCAUUUUUAUGGGCAUUUCACUCAAAAACAAAAAAAUUCCAAAAAAAAAAAAUGUAAUACGCAUGGGUUCACCACCUAGUUUAUAUCAAUAUUGAAUAUUACUCAUAUUUUAUUAUGACGACGAUGCAAAGCAUAGCAUCAUACUUUUCAAUGGUUAUUGUAUUAAAAAUAUUUUAUUUUGUUUUAUUAUUAUCAAUAA